rnacentral:rRNA from 1 species
CCCUACUGCUAUCGGGGUGGGACUAAGACAUGCGAGUUGUGCGUCUCUAAGCUAUGGUAGAGACGCGGCGUACGGCUCAGUAACACGUGGCUAACCUACCCUUAGGACGGGGACAACCCCGGGAAACUGGGGCUAAUACCCGAUAGGUGAGGAGGCCUGGAAUGGUUCCUAGUCGAAAAGGCGUUGAAACCAUGCUUUUCGACGUCGCCUAAGGAUGGGGCCGCGUCCGAUCAGGCUGUUGGUGGGGUAAUGGCUCACCAAACCUAUAACCGGUACGGGCCGUGAGAGCGGGAGCCCGGAGAUGGGCACUGAGACAAGGGCCCAGGCCCUACGGGGCGCAGCAGUCGCGAAAACUCCGCAAUGCGCGAAAGCGUGACGGGGCUACCCCGAGUGCCAUCCGCUGAGGAUAGCUUUUCCCAGGUGUAAUGAGCCGGGGGAAUAAGGAGAGGGCAAGUCUGGUGUCAGCCGCCGCGGUAAUACCAGCUCUCCGAGUGGUAGGGACGAUUAUUGGGCUUAAAGCGUCCGUAGCCGGCUUAGCAAGUCUCCUGUUAAAUUCAGCGACCUAAUCGUUGAGCCGCGGGAGAUACUACUAGGCUAGGAGGCGGAAGAGGCCGACGGUAUUCUCGGGGUAGGGGUGAAAUCCUAUAAUCCCGGGAGGACCACCAGUGGCGAAGGCUGUCGGCUAGAACGCGCUCGACGGUGAGGGACGAAAGCUGGGGGAGCGAACCGGAUUAGAUACCCGGGUAGUCCCAGCCGUAAACGAUGCGGGCUAGGUGUUGGGGUGGCUACGAGCCACUUCAGUGCCGCAGGGAAGCCAUUAAGCCCGCCGCCUGGGGAGUACGGCCGCAAGGCUGAAACUUAAAGGAAUUGGCGGGGGAGCACCACAAGGCGUGAAGCUUGCGGUUC